GAUGAAGAACGCAGCGAAAUGCGAUACUUGGUGUGAAUUGCAGAAUCCCGUGAACCAUCGAGUCUUUGAACGCAAGUUGCGCCCGAAGCCACUAGGCCGAGGGCACGCCUGCCUGGGCGUCACACGUCGUUGCCCCCCCCCCAUCUACUCCUUCGGGAUUGCGGGGGGCGGAUGAUGGCCUCCCGUGCGCCUAGCCGCGCGGUUGGCAUAAAUACCAAGUCCUCGGCGACGCAUGCCACGACAAUCGGUGGUUGCGAAACCUCGGUUGCCCGUCGUGUGCGUUCGUCGCGCAUCGAGGGCUCGAAAAAAUGCUCGGCUCCGGCUCGGCUUUCAACGCGACCCCAGGUCAGGCGGGGUUACCCGCUGAAUUUAAGCAUAUCAAUAAGCGGAGGA
rnacentral:misc_RNA from 1 species